rnacentral:rRNA from 1 species
AACGAACGCUGGCGGCAGGCCUAACACAUGCGAGUCGAGCGCCCUUUCGGGGGAGCGGCGGACGGGUGAGUACCGCGUGGGAAUAUGCCCUUCUCUACGGAAUAGCCUCGGGAAACUGAGAGUAAUACCGUAUACGCCCUAUGGGGGAAAGAUUUAUCGGGGAAGGAUUAGCCCGCGUUGGAUUAGGUAGUUGGUGGGGUAAUGGCCUACCAAGCCGACGAUCCAUAGCUGGUUUGAGAGGAUGAUCAGCCACACUGGGACUGAGACACGGCCCAGACUCCUACGGGAGGCAGCAGUGGGGAAUCUUAGACAAUGGGGGCAACCCUGAUCUAGCCAUGCCGCGUGAGUGAUGAAGGCCUUAGGGUUGUAAAGCUCUUUCAGCUGGGAAGAUAAUGACGGUACCAGCAGAAGAAGCCCCGGCUAACUCCGUG